UGUGAAGAGGAAGGAAGUGGUGUUUUAAACCCCCUGCUUUCUGUCUCAUUUCUACCUUCAAGCCCACAGAGGGACGUUAAGGUUCGUGAUAACUCCCUUUAUUUUAAUGUAGAAGGUUUUACUUGUGUACAUCAAUCUUCUUAUUUAUUUUAUUGUCACUGAAGCCACACGGAGACGAGAGGAGCAGCUAUGAGUUUAAUAGCGAGUGGAUUUGUUGUCGUCAUUCUCUCUAUGCCAGAAGAAAGGCAUCUUUGAACACGUCGUUCCUCCUUCACUUCUCACAGAGAUGAGAGGAGCAGCUAUGAGUCUAACUGCAGCAGCGAGUGGAUUAGUUGUCUUCCUGCUCUCUGUGUCAGGUACUGUACUUCUACACUUACAUUCAUCACAUGAACAGAGGGGAUUCUGGGAAAUGUGGGACUUGUUAAACCAGGUCACAUGUGGGAAUAAGUGGGAUGGAUUUGUGUAAAAGUCAAACCUAGCAGAAACAUUUUAAAUGUAAUUGUGUGUAGAAUUGUAGAAACUCAAAGACGUUCCUAGUUUUUUUGAUGGAUAUUCUGAAGAUCUUGUCGUGCGUUGCCGCUGUCCUUUGCUCCAAUCAUCUGCAUCAAAUAUCACUUAUCACUUUUACAAGCGUUACAAUAUAGUGUAUGCAUAACUGUUCCAUCCUCUCUCUCUGAAAACAUUUUGCUUUUUUUCUUAAGACGACUUCAAGAAUCUCCAGCUCUGUUUUUAUUAAGUUGAAGUGAUUUAGAGAGAUAUUCUUAUUCUAAGUCAAAACAUAUUGACUGAACUCUUAUGGAUCAUACCUCUGCACCAAACCCUUCUAGUUCCUUCUCUCCUCUCUGACCUCAGUGUUAUAUUUCCACGCUCUGAGUUUAAAGCAGUCUUCUUCUUUUUCUAAUCUGUAUAUCAGACAGAAGCUGCUCACGCCUCAGUGUUCUGCAUUCAUUGUUAUUGUUCACACUGACCUCAGCAGCAACCUGACCACAGAGCGAACAGAGAGGGAACUGUUCAGAGAGUCUCUAUUCUAAUUAAUGUGAUCGCUAAUCAUUCACUGUUCAUUUCUAUGAAGGCAUUUUCCAAUCUUGCUUUGCCCUGACUGUAAAACUGAGCAUACACUUUUUUCAUUCAUGUCCUUUUUUUAAAGGACAUGAAUGAAAAUAAUUACCAAACAAUGUAUUGAUUAAUCCAAAUAGAUCAAUUUAUCAAAAUGCAACAUCUGAGAAAGUCACAUUAACAUUUAGAGCAUUUGUGAUGUGAAUGACCCGGGUCUCUCUGAAUCUCCAGAUGCUC